AUCCCCCGAAUGGGCCUUCUGAACCCCUCUGCCUGGGAAUCCCACUAUUGCUCUUGCUAACCUUUUCAUUUUUUAUCCUAAUUAGGAUUAGAGUAAUGUUUAGGCUAUUGAGUUCUUUAAAAAUUCUUGAUAAUUAGAGGUUAGGGUGAUGUAGAUUUAAUUAAAAUUUUAGGAUCAAUUAGAAAUUAGGAUUAAUGUGUAGUUAGUUAGGUUCAUUAGUUGUGUUUAGGUUAAUGUAAUUGUUGAACCCGAACAUAGAGUGCAAAAUUCAGAAAUAGGGAUUUUGGGCCCAACAAAAUGAGCCCAAAUAUAAAUAAAUAUAGUUGGGUUCAACAAGCAUGUUGUUGAGCAAAACAGGGGUGUGGAGAGCAAAAUAUUAGGCUUAAUGGCUAAGCUCAACCGAAUUUGCAAAGGAAAUGAGAGAAAAAUUCAGAAACAAUAAUUCAUCAUCUCUACACACCAAAUUCAAUUUUUCAUGUCAAAAGAGAACCACCACUGGAGCUCCGGCACCACUGCGUCGGAGUUGGCCAAAAUCCAGAAAAAGUAUUAUCUUCCUACUCCUCUCAACCUCUUAUAUCCUAAUCUAUCAUAUAUUUUAACCACAAGUUAAUCAAUUCUGGAAAUUGAGCCAUUAAAGAAUCCUAAGCAUAAAAUCUAAAAUUAAAUGGGGAUGAAGGAGAAUCAAACCACCAAAACUUGGGGGUUUUAUUCCCCAGUACACAAGCUAUAUUGUGGUAUCAAAAAUUCAGCAAAUAAGCAAGGAUGAAAAUUCACCGACCUGCAAGAACGAAGUUUUGUUCUUGGAAUUUUAGUGUUGGAGAUGAAGAAGAUAAAGUAAAAACCAGAGGAAUAAUGUUGAAUGCAAGAGGUUUAGCUCAAUUGAUAACAAAAUUCAAUGUGAAGCUUGCUCCAAUGGUGAUUUCAGUUUUGGUGUAGGGAGAAGAAUUGGGGAAGAUGAAGUGAGAGGAGAAAAGUUGAACUUGCAAUGAGUAAUUUGAGAGUGAUGAUCAAGUUCUGAUAUUUUUUUGGCUAUGGGAGUGAUGUGUUUAUAUAAGUUAUAGGUUUGGAUCAAAUGGACGUUAGGAGUUAGUUUUCUGAGGCUUGAAAUUGGUUAAAUGAGGCUUGGAGUUAGUUGAAGUGGUUUAGAAUUAGUUUGAAGUGGUUUGGAGUUAACUUGGGACUGUUAUGAGUGAUUCACAAAUGUUGAGAAGUUUGGUGAAUUGAAGUGUUAGGAGCUUGGUUCAAUGCAUGAGUGAUAUGGUUGGUUGCUACAUAAUUAUGUAAAGGUUAUACUGUGCAUUGAUGCAAACAUUGGAACUGGUUUGGAGUGCAAAGGAAAUUGCCUUACUGCUGAAAAAAUGCAGCAUUUUGGCUAUUGUCCCAGGUGUAAUCAAUUAUCCUAGAUAUGGUAAUCGAUUAUCAUCAUGAAAAAAUUGGUUUUCUUGGCUAUUGGAAGCAGUGUAAUCGAUUACCCAAACAUGGUAAUCAAUUACCAUCAUGAAAAAUGGUUUUUUUGGCUACUGGAAGUAGGGUAAUCGAUUACUCAAACAUGGUAAUCGAUUACCAUCAGGAAAAAAUGGUUUUUCCUUAGUUUUGAUGCAUGGGCUCAUGUGUGAGGCAUAAUGGCUUGGCUUUCUUUCUUGUUCAAUAUGAAAUCAACUUAAAACAAAAGCUUUCAGUGCA